rnacentral:rRNA from 1 species
UACGAAGGGGGCUAGCGUUGUUCGGAAUUACUGGGCGUAAAGCGCGCGCAGGCGGUUUUUCAAGUCAGUGGUGAAAGCCCGGAGCUCAACUCCGGAACUGCCAUUGAAACUGUAAAACUUGAGGACGAGAGAGGUGAGUGGAAUUCCCAGUGUAGAGGUGAAAUUCGUAGAUAUUGGGAAGAACACCGGUGGCGAAGGCGGCUCACUGGCUCGUUUCUGACGCUCAGGCGCGACAGCGUGGGGAUCAAGCAGG